GCACCACCUAUCGGGUUUGUUUGCACCUUUUAACAAUAUGGAGUAUAAAUUGUAAUUGGAGCUUUACGUCAAUGACAGUAAAAAGAGUGAGAGUUUGCAUUGGAGAGUAAAGAGGAGAGAUGGGAGGCUGAGUGGGAGUGACAGAUGAAGAUAAGUUGGUGAAGUCUCACAAGAAGCAGGUCUGGUUCUAUUUGUCAUCCUUUCUUUCUGGACACAAGGCCUAGACCUUUCACAGCAGCAGAUGGACACGUGUAAUACUGAGCCUGUGACCAAGCAGCAGAGAUCAGCUGCUGACAGAGGUACUGCUCAAACAGACACUGAAACACCUGUGUUGACCCUCACCUCGACUGAUUAGCCAAGGAACGAAGAUCGCUCAGAUUUGGUGAGCUGGAGCCUAUCACAGCGGAUAUUGGGCAGGAGGCGGGAUACAGCUUCUUCACACCCACCAAUGAACUGUGACUUAUGUUAACAGGCAAGCC